rnacentral:sRNA from 1 species
AGCUGCAGCAGGAAUUCGGCGAAGUGGCGGAGCUGGGGCCCCAGCAGGCGCCGGGCGCCGCGGGAGCCAGCAGGUGGCGGGGACUGCGCUCCGCCCGGGCCUGAGCGCACCAGGCAGGUGCCCGCGCCUCCGCACCAGGCAGGUGCCCGCGCCUCCGCACCGCGGCGACACCUCCGCGGGCACUCACCCAGGCCGGCCGCUCACAACCGAGCGCAGGGCCCCAGAGGGAGACCAGGAAAGUCGAAGGCGGAGCAGCUGGAGGCGACCAGCGCCGAGCGAGGUCAAGUGGAUCCGAGCCGCAGAGAGGGCUGGAGAGAGUCUGCUCUCCGAUGGCUUUGCCCACUGUCUUCGCAGUGGGGACACCGGACCGAGUGCACACUGGAGGUCUCAGAGCACAACGAGCGCGGAGGACCGGGAGGCUCCCGGGCUUGCGUGGGCAUCACGUGCCCUCCCCCCAUGUCCGUGGAACAUGCAGACAUCUGGGUCAAGAGCUACAGCUUGUACUCCAGGGAGCGGUACGUUUGUAACUCUGGUUUCAAGCGUAAAGCCGGCACGUCCAGCCUGACGGAAUGUGUGUUGAACAAGGCCACCAACGUCGCCCACUGGACAACCCCCAGUCUCAAAUGCAUUAGAACCACAGAGAUAGGCAGUCAUGAGUCCUCCCACGGCACCCCCUCUCAGACAACAGCCAAGACCUGGGAACUCACAGCAUCCGCCUCCCACCAGCCGCCAGGUGUGUAUCCACAGGGCCACAGCGACACUGCUGUGGCUAUCUCCACGUCCACCGUCCUGCUGUGUGGUCUGAGCGCUGUGUCUCUCCUGGCAUGCUACAUCAAGUCAAGGCAAACUCCCCCGCUGGCCAGCGUUGAAAUGGAAGCCAUGGAGGCUCUGCCGGUGACUGGGGGGACCAGCAGCAGAGAUGAAGACUUGGAAAACUGCUCUCACCACCUAUGAAACUCGGGGAAACCAGCCCAGCUACGUCUGGAGUGAAGGAGCCUCUCUGCUUUAGCUAAAGACGACUGAGAAGAGGUGCAAGGAGGUGGGCUCCAGGAGCAAGCCCACCAGGCCUCUCAGACGUCCCAGCAGGAUCUCACGGACUCCCGGGUCGGCGCCUCCUGCGCGAGGGAGCAGGUUCUUCGCAUUCCCAUGGGCACCACCUGCCUGUCGUGCCUUGGAUCCGGGGCCCAGCUUCCCAGGAGAGACCAAAGGUUUCUGAGUAGGAUUUUUAUUUCAUUACAGUGAGAGCUGCCUGGAAUACAUGUGGUAAUGAAAUAAAAACCCUGCCCCAAACCUUCCAUCCCUCAUCCUGACUUGCAGUUCUCAGAGAAAAGUGACAUACCCAAAGCUCUCUGUCAAUUACAAGGCUUCUCCUGGUGUGGGAGAUGUCUACAGGGAAGACACCAGCGUUUGGGCUUCUAACCACCCUGUCUCCAGCUGCUCUGCACACACGGACAGGGACCUGGGAAAGGUGGGAGAGUUGCUGAGCCCAGCGAAUCCUCUCCAUUGAAGGAUUCAGGAAGAAGAAAACUCAACUCAGUGCCAUUUUACGUAUAUAUGCGUUUAUAUUUAUACUUCCUUGUCUAUUAUAUCUAUACAUUAUAUAUGAUUUGUAUUUUGACAUUGUACCUUGUAUAAACAAAAUAAAACAUCUA